rnacentral:rRNA from 1 species
UACGUAGGGAGCAAGCGUUGUCCGGAAUUACUGGGCGUAAAGGGUGCGUAGGUGGUUUCUUAAGUCAGAGGUGAAAGGCUACGGCUCAACCGUAGUAAGCCUUUGAAACUGGGAAACUUGAGUGCAGGAGAGGAGAGUGGAAUUCCUAGUGUAGCGGUGAAAUGCGUAGAUAUUAGGAGGAACACCAGUUGCGAAGGCGGCUCUCUGGACUGUAACUGACACUGAGGCACGAAAGCGUGGGGAGCAAACAGGAUUAGAUACCCUGGUAGUCCCUGA